UUAUGCUGAUAAGAGCGUAUGGUGGAUGCCUUGGCACUAAGAGCCGAUGAAAGACGUGAUAAGCUGCGAAAAGCUUCGGGGAGGAGCAAAUAUCCUUUGAUCCGGAGAUUUCUGAAUGGGGAAACCUACUUGAGCAAACCUCAAGUAUCCAUACGUAAAUCCAUAGCGUAUGGAAGGGAACGUUGUGAACUGAAACAUCUAAGUAGCAAUAGGAGGAGAAAGAAAAAUCGAUUUCCUAAGUAGCGGCGAGCGAAAGGGAAAGAGGCCAAACCGAAGGACCUGGUUCUUCGGGGUUGUGGACUGCAUCAAGCGAUGGAGGCUAUGGUAGUCGAACUGUUUUGGGAAAGCAGACCAAAGACGGUGAAAGUCCGGUAGACGAAACCAGAAGACCCGCUGCAGGAUCCAGAGUACCACGGGACACGAGAAACCCUGUGGGAAGCCGGGGGGACCACCCCCCAAGCCUAAAUACUCCCCAGUGACCGAUAGUGAAGCAGUACUGUGAAGGAAAGGUGAAAAGGACCCCGGGAGGGGAGUGAAAAAGAACCUGAAACCAUAUGUUUACAAGCUGUGGAAGAGCUUUAUAUGCUCAACCGCGUACUUUUUGUAGAACGGUCCGGCGAGUUACGCUGGCUGGCGAGGUUAAGGACUGAAGGUCCGGAGCCGAAGGGAAACCAAGUCUGAAUAGGGCGCAUAGUCAGUCGGAGUAGACCCGAAACCGGGUGAUCUAUCCAUGUCCAGGUUGAAGUUGCCGUAAAAGGCAAUGGAGGACCGAACCCACAUCCGUUGAAAAGGGUGGGGAUGAGGUGUGGAUAGGGGAGAAAUUCCAAUCGAACCCGGAGAUAGCUGGUUCUCCUCGAAAUAGCUUUAGGGCUAGCCUCAUACGAGUCUUGCGGAGGUAGAGCACUGAAUUCCUAAGGGGGCGUCAAAGCUUACUAAGGGAUAUCAAACUCCGAAUGCCGUGUAGAUGAUGUAUGGGAGUCAGACGAUCCGAGAUAAGUUGGGUGGUCAAAAGGGAAAGAGCCCAGACCAACAGCUAAGGCCCCAAAAUGUGUGUUAAGUGGAAAAGGAUGUGGGAUUUCGAAGACAACUAGGAUGUUGGCUCAGAAGCAGCCAUUCAUUCAAAGAGUGCGUAAUAGCUCACUAGUCGAGAGGUCCUGCGCCGAAAAUGUCCGGGGCUAAAACACACUGCCGAAGCUUUGGAAUUGAAUUAAUUCAAUUGGUAGAGGAGCAUUCUUAAAGGGACGAAGCAGUACCGUAAGGAGCUGUGGACUUUUAAGAAGAGAGAAUGCCGGAAUGAGUAGCGAGAGGAAGGUGGGAAUCCUUCCGGCCGAAUAUCUAAGGUUUCCAGAGUAAAGCUGAUCUGCUCUGGGUAAGUCGGGGCCUAAGGCGAGGUCGAAAGACGUAGUCGAUGGAUAACAGGUUGAAAUUCCUGUACUAUCCUGUAACAGAACUGUGGGGACACAGGCAGAGAGCGUGAGCCGGGAAUGGAAAGACCGGUACAAGCGAGGUAGGAGUCUGGUUGGCAAAUCCGCCAGGCAAUCUGAAGACGUGAUGUGGACUGAAAAUAAGUAGGGAAGCACGUGAGCUGACUGUCAAGAAAAGCCGCUAUUGUUUGCAGGAUACCCGUACCGUAAACCGACACAGGUGGAUGAGGAGAGAAUCCUAAGGCCGACGGGAGAAGCAUUGUUAAGGAACUCGGCAAAAUGACUCCGUAACUUCGGGAGAAGGAGUGCCAGUAAGAUGGCCGCAGAGAAUUGGCCCAAGCAACUGUUUAGCAAAAACACAGGUCUAUGCAAAACCGAAAGGUGAGGUAUAUGGGCUGACGCCUGCCCGGUGCUGGAAGGUUAAGGGGAGAGGUUAGCGCAAGCGAAGCUUUGAACUUAAGCCCCAGUAAACGGCGGCCGUAACUAUAACGGUCCUAAGGUAGCGAAAUUCCUUGUCGGGUAAGUUCCGACCCGCAUGAAAGGCGUAAUGAUUUGGGCACUGUCUCAACGAGGGGCCCGGUGAAAUUGAAAUACCUGUGAAGAUGCAGGUUACCCGCGACUGGACAGAAAGACCCCAUGGAGCUUCACUGCAGCUUGAGAUUGAAUCCCGGUGACAGACGCACAGGAUAGGUGGGAGACUACGAAGUACCUUUUUCGGAAGAUACAGAGUCAAUGUUGGGAUACCACCCUUCUGUUGCUGGGCUUCUAACGCAAGGAGUAACGACCCUGCGGACCCUCUCAGGUAGGCGGUUUGACUGGGGCGGUCGCCUCCGAAAGAGUAACGGAGGCGCCCAAAGGUUCCCUCAGGCCGGACAGAAACCGGCCAAAGAGUGCAAAGGCAGAAGGGAGCUUGACUGCGAGACCCACAAGUCGAGCAGAGACGAAAGUCGGGCUUAGUGAUCCGGUGGUACUGAGUGGAAAGGCCAUCGCUCAACGGAUAAAAGCUACCCUGGGGAUAACAGGCUAAUCUCUCCCAAGAGUUCAUAUCGACGGGGAGGUUUGGCACCUCGAUGUCGGCUCAUCACAUCCUGGGGCUGGAGUAGGUCCCAAGGGUUGGGCUGUUCGCCCAUUAAAGUGGUACGCGAGCUGGGUUCAAAACGUCGUGAGACAGUUUGGUUCAUAUCCAUCGCGGGCGCAAGAAGUUUGAGGGAAGCUGCUCCUAGUACGAGAGGACCGGAGUGGACGGAUCAACGGUGUACCGGUUGUCACGCCAGUGGCACGGCCGGAAAGCCGCAUCCGGAAGGGAUAAACGCUGAAAGCAUCUAAGCGUGAAGCCCCACCCAAGAUGAGACUUCUCAUCAGCAAUGAGUAAGACCCCUUAUAGACGAUGAGGUAGAUAGGCUGUGAGUGGAAGAUCUGCAAAGAUUGGAGCGACACAGUACUAAUAGGUCGAGGUCUUAACUUA
rnacentral:rRNA from 1 species